rnacentral:rRNA from 1 species
AAUCGAACUCGGAGAUAGCUGGUUCUCCCCGAAAUAGCUUUAGGGCUAGCCUCAUAUUAGAUACCCGGAGGUAAAGCACUGAAUGGCCUAGCGCCCGAGAGGGUAGCGAAGCCUAUCAAACUAAGAAUGCCGGAGUAUUGAUGUAUGGGAGUCAGACAGUGUGAGAUAAAUCUCAUUGUCAAAAGGGAAACAGCCCAGAUCUACAGCUAAGGUCCCAAAUUGUAUCUAAGUGGAAAACGAUGUGGAAAUACGCAGACAACCAGGAUGUUGGCUCAGAAGCAGCCACUCAUUUAAAGAGUGCGUAAUAGCUCACUGGUCGAGCGUCUCUGCGCGGAAAAUUUAACGGGGCUAAGAUACAAACCGAAGCUUAGGCUGCAUCGUAAGAUGCGGGGUAGGGGAGCGUUGUGUAAGCGGAGAAACAGUAGCGUAAGCGGCUGUGGAGUUUACAGAAGUGAGAAUGCCGGAAUGAGUAGCGCGAAUGUGGUGAGAAUCCACAUGGCCGGAAACCUCAGGUUUUUGGAGGAAGGUUCGUCCGCUCCAAGUUAGGCGGGAGCUAAGGUCAGGCCGAAAGGCGUAGCCGAUGCACAGACGGUAGAGAUUCCGUCCCCACCGAAAGAUUUAAGCACAGGGACACUUUUAGAAGGUCGGAGCCAGGUGUUGGUUCUGGUAGUGAUCGAGGGAAAUAUAGUACCGAAGUCUGGCUGGAUAAGAGGCGAGAAAAGCUGUGUGUAUAUCUAAGGUGCCCGUACCGCAAACCGACACAGGUAGGUAGGAAGAAGAUUCUAAGGCCAACGGGAGAAGGGUUGUUAAGGAACUCGGCAAAUUGACCCCGUAACUUCGGGAGAAGGGGUGCUCCAGAGAUGGAGCCGCAGAGAAUCGGCCCAAGCAACUGUUUACCAAAAACACAGGUUUGUGCUAAAUCGAAAGAUGACGUAUACGAGCUGACGCCUGCCCGGUGCUGGAAGGUUAAAAGGAGAUGUGCAAGCAUUGAAUUGAAGCCCCAGUGAACGGCGGCCGUAACUAUAACGGUCCUAAGGUAGCGAAAUUCCUUGUCAGGUAAGUUCUGACCCGCAUGAAAGGCGUAAUGAUUUGGGCACUGUCUCAACAGCCCGCCCGGCGAAAUUGUAGUACCGGUGAAGAUGCCGGUUACCCGCGACAAGACGGAAAGACCCCAUGGAGCUUUACUGUAGCCUGAUAUUGGGUUUCGGUGUUGCAUGCACAGGAUAGAUGGGACACUGGGAAGCGAGCGCUUUGGCGUUCGUGGAGUGGACGUUGGGAUACCAUCCUUGCGACAUUGGAAUUCUAACCUGCGCCUCUGAAUCGAGGCGGGGGACAUUGUCAGGUGGGCAGUUUGACUGGGGCGGUCGCCUCCUAAAAAGUAGCGGAGGCGUUCAAAGGUUCGUUCGAUCUGGACGGAAACCAGAUGAAUGAGUGCAAACGCAUAAACGAGCCUGACUGCGAGACUGACGGGUCGAGCAGAGACGAAAGUCGGAGUUAGUGAUCCGGUGGUAUGUGAGUGGAAAUGCCAUCGCUCAACGGAUAAAAGUUACCCUGGGGAUAACAGGCUGAUCUCCCCCAAGAGUCCACAUCGACGGGGAGGUUUGGCACCUCGAUGUCGGCUCAUCGCAUCCUGGGGCUGAAUUCGGUCCCAAGGGUUUGGCUGUUCGCCAAUUAAAGCGGUACGCGAGCUGGGUUCAGAACGUCGUGAGACAGUUCGGUCCCUAUCUGUCGUGGGCGCAGGAUAUUUGAAAGGCGCUGUCCCUAGUACGAGAGGACCGGGAUGGACGAACCUCUGGUGCACCAGUUGUCACGCCAGUGGCACAGCUGGGCAGCUAUGUUCGGAUCGGAUAAACGCUGAAAGCAUCUAAGCGUGAAGCCGGCCUUAAGAUAAGAUAUCCCACUGAGUCAAUCAGGUAAGACCCCUUGA